CUCUUAUCAAGAGUUGGCUGAGGGACUGGCCCGAUGACGCCCGGCAACCUAAUGUCUGUUUGACAAGACAUCAAGGUGCUACCUCCUGCAGGGAAACCUGAGAGAUAAGAG
rnacentral:ncRNA from 2 species